rnacentral:rRNA from 1 species
UACGGAGGGUGCAAGCGUUAUCCGGAUUCACUGGGUUUAAAGGGUGCGUAGGUGGGUUGGUAAGUCAGUGGUAAAAUCUCCAGGCUUAACUUGGAAACUGCCAUUGAUACUAUCAAUCUUGAAUACCGUGGAGGUCAGCGGAAUAUGUCAUGUAGCGGUGAAAUGCUUAGAUAUGACAUAGAACACCAAUUGCGGAGGCAGCUGGCUACACGAAUAUUGACACUGAUGCGCGAAAGCGUGGGGAUCAAACAGG